AAAUUCAUCACAUAAUUUCUGAUAUGCAGCUUUGUCAUAUGGGUUCUUGUAAUAACAGAAAGAAGAAUCUGUUGGUAAAGGUGAUUUAAGUUCUUUUAAAAUUCUGGCAAUGCAAUAAUAUAAAUGAAACAUAUAAAAAGACUUUGUAAGAUUUGAAGUAUUUUGUAUAUGAUCAUUAUAAGAAACACCACAUCCUGUACUUGCACACCAUACUGCAAAGUUUAAUUGACAUUGCCACCAAU
rnacentral:lncRNA from 1 species